UUCGGUAUGGGAUGGGGAUGCGUUCCAUUAGUUAGUUGGCGGGGUAACGGCCCACCAAGACGACGAUGGAUAGGGGUUCUGAGAGGAAGGUCCCCCACAUUGGAACUGAGACACGGUCCAAACUCCUACGGGAGGCAGCAGUGAGGAAUAUUGGUCAAUGGACGAGAGUCUGAACCAGCCAAGUAGCGUGAAGGAUGACUGCCCUAUGGGUUGUAAACUUCUUUUAUAUGGGAAUAAAAUGUUCCACGUGUGGGAUUUUGUAUGUACCAUAUGAAUAAGGAUCGGCUAACUCCGUGCCAGCAGCCGCGGUAAUACGGAGGAUCCGAGCGUUAUCCGGAUUUAUUGGGUUUAAAGGGAGCGUAGGUGGAUUGUUAAGUCAGUUGUGAAAGUUUGCGGCUCAACCGUAAAAUUGCAGUUGAAACUGGCAGUCUUGAGUACAGUAGAGGUGGGCGGAAUUCGUGGUGUAGCGGUGAAAUGCUUAGAUAUCACGAAGAACUCCGAUUGCGAAGGCAGCUCACUGGACUGCAACUGACACUGAGGCUCGAAAGUGUGGGUAUCAAACAGGAUUAGAUACCCUGGUAGUCCACACAGUAAACGAU
rnacentral:rRNA from 1 species